rnacentral:rRNA from 4 species
CAGGUAGGGAUACCCGCUGAACUUAAGCAUAUC